UAGUCUGUUGUUAACUGAAACUUGCCUUGAAUUUUGAUUUACAUGUCCAUAAUCUAUAAUUGACUUUAGGAUUUUUUUUUCCCUUGUGUUUUUAAGGACAGAAUCUGCAAUGCAGUUCUCAGACUUUGGGUCACACUUCCAGACUUUAGAAGGAAAAACGCCAAUACAAAUAUUCAUGUGUACAAUGGCUAUAAUGGUUGCAGUCAGGCGUAACAAGGUGUGAGUACCCUGAAAUUUGAGAUAUGGAUUAUAGGCACAAAAGGCAUUGAAGCUUCAGGCGAAAAAGUUUAUUUCAGGUUUCGGAUUGGGAUUUGAGUGAUAUCAUGACAUAUAUUUUGUAAAUCAAAUCAUUUUUAUGUUUGCCAAAGAUCUGAAACUGCACCAGGAUGACUAGAUGAGUUGGUUUGAAGUUUAGGGAAUUCUAAGAUAAAUUCUGUAGUUAAUCAGUAACUUAGCUUAUCAUUACUAGCAAUAUAUCAUUAAAUUGCUCCUGGAGACUUGCAGUGUGCUCCUCCGUCCGAGUUCUUCAUUCUUUUUAAAAGGAAUGGGACGGUCUCAUAUUAUCGAAUUUUGCACCGGAGAAACAACUGCAUACAGAAAGGGAAGAGCUUAGUCAUGCCUUUUACAAGUAUGAUGCUGCUUGCUGUGUAAUUGCUAGACUAACGAAAGAACAAGAUGAAGCGAGGUCACUCUUAGCACAGGCAGAAAGACAGGCAAGUGCACCAGAUGGUCCAUAUGUAUGGGGAUAUUGCUUUAUUGCGGAGAGAAACAAUCCGGGUACAUUCUGCACUUCCACGGACUGGCCUUGUGCUCCUCGCAAACAAUAUUAAGGCAGAGGGCCUAUCCAAAUCACUCAAGUCUUAGGUUCUUCGGUCCUCCACGUGGCAGAAAAUUGGAACUAAAUUCCAGUCAGAAAUAAUGAGAACUUUUGAGCACACUAAUGGGAGAAGGAAUUAUAAUGGACUCAACCACAAAUAGAGUUAUUGUGAUCGUGCUUUCGAGAAACAAAAAUUUUCGUUUGCUGUAGGAGCAGAUCUAAGUAUAUGUAUAAAGACUUCAACUCUGGCUCUGACAUAGAAGGUGCAAUUGUAGUGUAAGUUGUAUAAUAACUAUAUUUUCCUAUAUUUUAACAACAAAUACAAAAUAAAAGAACUCAGGUUUUAUA